CCUACGGGUGGCUGCAGUAGGGAAUCUUUCACAAUGGGCGAAAGCCUGAUGGAGCAACGCCGCGUGCAGGAUGAAGGCCUUCGGGUUGUAAACUGCUUUUAUAAGCGAGGAAUAUGAUGGUAACUUAUGAAUAAGGAUCGGCGACCUACGUGCCAGCAGCCGCGGUCGUACGUAGGAUCCGGGCAUUAUCCGGGGUGACUGGGUGGAACGAGGUGCGUAGGGGGCAUAAGAAGUAGCGAGUGAAAUCUGGUGGCUCAACCACUCAGACUGUUAGCUAAACUGUGAAGCUCGAGACCGUUAGGGGUAAGUGGAAUUUCUAGUGUAGGGGUGAAAUGCGUAGAUAUUAGAUGGAACACCAAUGGCGAAGGCAGGUUGCUGGGACGGUACUGACACUAAGGCACGAAAGCGUAGGGAGCAAACGGGAUUAGAUACCCUUGUAGUC
rnacentral:rRNA from 1 species